rnacentral:rRNA from 1 species
UACGAGGGGGGCGAGCGUUGUUCGGAAUUAUUGGGCGUAAAGGGUGCGUAGGCGGUUUGGUAAGUCUUAUGUGAAAUCUACAGGCUCAACUUGUAGUCUGCAUGAGAAACUGCCGGGCUUGAGUAUGGGAGAGGUGAGUGGAAUUCCUGGUGUAGCGGUGAAAUGCGUAGAUAUCAGGAGGAACACCUGUGGCGAAAGCGGCUCACUGGACCAUAACUGACGCUGAUGCACGAAAGCUAAGGGAGCAAACAGG